GACGAACGCUGGCGGCGUGCCUAAUACAUGCAAGUCGAGCGGACUUUCAAGAAGCUUGCUUUUUGAAAGUUAGCGGCGGACGGGUGAGUAACACGUGGGCAACCUGCCUGCAAGACGGGGAUAACUCCGGGAAACCGGGGCUAAUACCGGAUAAUAUCUUCCUUCGCAUGAAGGAAGGUUGAAAGGCGGCGCAAGCUGCCGCUUGCAGAUGGGCCCGCGGCGCAUUAGCUAGUUGGUGAGGUAACGGCUCACCAAGGCGACGAUGCGUAGCCGACCUGAGAGGGGGAUCGGCCAAACUGGGACGGAGACACGGCCCAGACUACUACGGGAGGCAGCAGUAGGGAAUCUUCCGCAAUGGACGCAAGGCUGACGGAGCAACGCCGCGUGAGCGAAGAAGGUCGUCGGAUCGUAAAGCUCUGUUGUCAGGGAAGAACAAGUACCGUUCGAACAGGACGGUACCUUGACGGUACCUGAACAGAAAGCCACGGCUAACUACGUG
rnacentral:rRNA from 1 species